rnacentral:rRNA from 1 species
AACGAACGCUGGCGGCAGGCCUAACACAUGCAAGUCGAGCGAGGACUUCGGUCCUAGCGGCGGACGGGUGAGUAAUACGUGAGUAACCUGCCCUUGACUCUGGGAUAAGCCCGGGAAACUGGGUCUAAUACUGGAUGCUACAUGUCACCGCAUGGUGGUGUGUGGAAAGGGUUUACUGGUCUUGGAUGGGCUCACGGCCUAUCAGCUUGUUGGUGAGGUAAUGGCUCACCAAGGCGACGACGGGUAGCCGGCCUGAGAGGGUGACCGGCCACACUGGGACUGAGACACGGCCCAGACUCCUACGGGAGGCAGCAGUGGGGAAUAUUGCACAAUGGGCGAAAGCCUGAUGCAGCGACGCCGCGUGAGGGAUGACGGCCUUCGGGUUGUAAACCUCUUUCAGCAGGGAAGAAGCCACAAGUGACGGUACCUGCAGAAGAAGCGCCGGCUAACUACGUG